CCCUCUUCUCUCUGCCCUCACCUCUCUCCCCCUUCCAUCACCUCGCUAGUAACAGGUCACCGUGUGUGUGCGCGCCAUGGGGAUUCAUCUGCCGCCGCCUGCCCUCGCCUUCUGCCUCUCGGCGCCCACUCGGUUCCAGUGGCCGCUUCGAGGAGGCGCUCGCGCGCAUCGAGGAGCUCCAGGAGCGCGACACUGGCGCCGACGACAGCAGCACAGCCUCGUCGUUCUUGAGCGACGGAGAGGCGGCGUCGCGGCCAGCAGGCGAGCAGCAGUCGCACUCCGCAGAUUUCUUGAGCGACGGAGAGGCGGCGUCCGGUGGCAUUCAGAGACGUGCGUGACGGUCGGAGGUCGUCGAGCGCGUGUAAGCUUGUUGACCAUUUUCAGCAUGUGUAAAUUGGCGGUUAGAUUUCGUUCAAGAAGUAAGUGCUACAUUUCUUGUGUCCUUAAAUCAAUUAAUACCACUGCUGCUUGUUCACUGGACAUGUUUUAGCUAGAUAGCAUCCAAGACAAAUAGCGCUGUUCGCGAUCUGAGGCAGCUGGUAGGCAGUCUGGGCUUGGGCGCACGCGAGCCAGAGAGGGAGGGCUGGGAGCACGUCAUCUCCAAGAGCAGCGACGACGUCUCCUACAAGGCCUGGUGCGACAAGCCCACGGUAGUUGCCAAUUGCGUACAUGCAUUGCAACAGAUCUGGGCUCUAGAAGCUGCUAACUUGGUAGCAGAAAGAUUGAGGCAUUGCAUAGCAAACCACUGGAUCAAAGAGUUUAGUGAAUGGCCACAGUGCAUGUUCUUGAGUUGCAAUCAAAGUUCCUUCCAUAUAAUAAUAACAAAAUAUUUGACAUAAUGAAUCUGUUGGAGGAUAGACUUCAACAUGCAAAUGGAGUCGUUGUUUUGGCAACAAUUAAAGUUUUUCUCCAUUCCCAUGACUGUUGUUCAUCAACAGCAAGAGAAGAAGGAAGACAAGUCAGACAAAACAGAAGACGAGAAGAACUGAUGUAGCCAUGUUCAUGCUUCCACUGUUGAAAUGCAUAUUCAACAUAGCUUGCUCAGCUCCUAUCUGUUGUUUCAACGUUGAUUUAAAAGAAGAGCUGGUAGUUGUGGGCUUUCGAACAAUAGCUGGAAUGAUCUAGCUAGCUAUAUGUAAAUGAUCUAGUUGUGAAUGAUAUUAUAACUGUGAUGCUUUUGUGAAUAUAUAAUUGUGGUGCUUUUGUGUU